AAACCGAUUUUCCCUAGUGAUUUCAAACUUCUACAAGACCAAAUGUAUAUUAGUGAUUGAUUUUAUUUUUGAAAUUAUCCUGAGUCUCGACUUGAUCUUGCUGGAUUACUCUGCGGAGGACGAUUCAACAAGGCAGAAUAAGUAUUGGAUCAGUUUCACACAAGAACACCAAAUAUGACACCUGGACCACGCGAUGGGGUAAUAAGUAUCAGGCCAUAAUAAAACAUGUCGGGAAGAAAUAUGACUGUUUGAGGACUGCAAUGUGGUCGAGAAUUGGCUGUCUAUGCAAAUGCGAGUUGAACGAUCUUCCAGAAGAGUUUAGAAUUUUACGACACUGCAAAACUAUCCUGCACCAGAUCCAAGUUCAACAGUUGACCAUGUAGGGUAUCUGAGGUAUUUUGGCCACUCUAAUAUAUUUUAGCCCGGCGUACAUAUUUCUGGAUAUAAUCAGAACUAAGUACAUAAGUUCAUCAUGUCUCAGAAUUUAAAAAAAAUUUCCAUUCAUAAACUUAUUAGGUAUGAAUAUGUACUUCAUUUUGAUUAUAAUUAAAAAUAUAUGCACCAGGCCAAAAUAUAUUACAGUGGCCGAAAUAACUCCGUUGCCCAAUUUGUUAACAGUUAAAAGACCAGUUUUUUAUCCCUAUCGCGAUUAUCAAAA